AUGCUUCUUUCAGCUGCAGAUAUAUUAUCAUUGGAAAGGUACAGAGAAGAUUUGCAUUGCCCCUGGGAGAGGAUGAGACCCAGCUUUGAGUAACAUUCCAUUUUUUAA
ensembl:snRNA Gm23308 U6 spliceosomal RNA